CGUGUCGUUUUCGGCUGCGUUAGUGUUCCACACACGUGAUAAUCGUAGCGCACGCUGCCUGGUAGCUCGAUUCAAUUACGACAAGUGUUUUCUGCUCUCGUGGCUCGCCAACACACACACACACACACACACACACACAAGGUCGUUUCCUUUUGCACAUGUGGGGCACCAGCGGUGCCUGUGAUUUACUUUUCUGUGAACUGAAGCUCUUCGUGAGGGGAGACGCAAACGGCCGGUGACCUCAGAGCUAACGUACACAAGCCGCAAGCACAGUCUCCUGGAGACACUCAAAAACGCUGUUGUUUUCGUAGCACACCCUAUUAUCUCUGCCGCCGCAGAAGGCUAUAACUGCCUUUGUGCUUUCUCCUUCAGGUAAUAAUGUCGAACUUCGCCAAACAUCCCGAUCUUACGCUAAACGAGCGGCUGGUUUGGCGGCCAGCGAAGGGCAAGGAGCAUGUCUACAACUACAUUGUGCAAAAGUCUCCGACGGCCAGGGCACGAUGUCGGAAGUGCUCGCAGCUGAUCCCGAAGGGGGAGAUGCGAGUAGGUGUGCCCAUUCGCCACAACGCAGGCGAUAAUGGGUGGAUCUCUGCGUGGCAGCACCUUGGCUGCACCCGCAUGGAGAGAAGUGAGUCAGAGGACUACAAAAACACCAUGCAUGGGUUUGCGGCAUUGAAGCCAGAGGAACAAGCGCAUGUGGUAAAUGAGGUCAAUUCUACGGAGGUGCCAGAGCAUCUCAAGCCGCUGGACCCGGAGGACUUGGUGCACCGAGGUAAGAUGGAGCAAAUGACACCACCGUCGACGCUGCUGCGGCACCUGUUGCCUUAUCAGAAGGAGGGAAUGGGGUGGAUGGUGCGCCAGGAGGUCGAGUCUCCCGUCAAGGGCGGCAUUCUUGCAGACGAGAUGGGCAUGGGCAAAACUAUCCAGACCAUUGGAAUGAUGCUCGCGCACCGCAUAAACGGUCCCACGCUCGUUGUCUGUCCGGUUAGCUCCAUGUUGCAAUGGGAGGCUGAAAUCAAGGAGCAUGUGGUCCCUGGGUCGCUAUCGGUAGUCGUCGUAUACCGCACCACAAAGGUGACCAAGGAGGAGCUGGAGAGCGCGGAUGUUGUCCUCACCACUUACCCAAUGCUGGAGCAGGCCUGGCGCGCUCUCAUUAACGAGAUAAAAGUACCGUGUCCCUAUUGUGAGCUGCUCUUCAUUCCUCGUCAGUUGGUGGUGCACAACAAGUACUUCUGUGGUCCGCGCGCCAAGAAGACACAGAAGCAGGCGAAGCGCGAAAAGCACACCACGCCUGCGGCGGCGAGUAGCUCAAGGGGUGUGCAGUCUGACGAAACCAUUCGAAAGGGGUUGCGAACACUCCACGUAGACAUGGGUGACGAAGAGGGGGCCGAGGCGGAGGUCAAUGCGCCCAAUACUACGACGGCACAGCCACAGCGGAAGCGAGGUCGCAAGGGCGCGACCAACGUCGAGGAUGACCCGGCUGGGAAGGUCAACGGUUGUGGCACCCCGACAGCCAAGAAGGAGAAGCAGGAAGAGUCGGAGAGUAAGGUGGCCAGUGGCUGCCGAUCGCCAGCCGAGAAGGCUAAUCGAAAGUGCCCCGUCAAGGCGGAGGAUCACAAUGAUGAGGGGGCCGCUCUGGCUCAAAAAGGCAAGGUGCUCCAGCCAGCUGCGGCUUCGCGGGGGGUUGUUGGACCGAUCGGCAUGUACCAGGAACUUAUGCGGGAAGCCGGCCGAACCGUGCUCAGUCGCUGGGACGCGGCGAGGAAGGAUGACGAGAGCAGCAGCGAUGAGGAGGUCGAGGAUGAGUCCAGCGAGGAAAGUGACAGCGACGCAUCGAAUUUGUCGUACAACUCUGCGGCUGCUGCUGCCGAGGAAGCGGCUGCGGCGGAGCAAGCUUCCAAAGCCCUGGAGGCGUUCCGCUGCGCCGCUUGCCACUUUCAGCUGCUGCGGUACCCUUUCUGCCCCAGGAAUGGCCAGCACCACGUUGUCAGAGAGGAGCUUCGAGACAUCAUCGAAAAGGACACUGGCGGCGACGAUGUCGACCUCGAUGCUUCCAUCUUCCACUCCAUCAAGUGGGCGCGCGUUAUCCUGGACGAGGCGCACCGCAUCAAAGGUCGAACAACGAGCACGGCCCGCUCUGCCUUCGCCUUGGCGGCCGAGUACCGAUGGUGCCUCACCGGCACCCCACUACAGAAUCGUGUUGGUGAUCUAUACAGUCUUCUGCGCUUUUUGCGCAUGCGGCCAUACGCACACUACUACUGCGAAACGGAAGGCUGCUCGUGCGCCUCGCUCUCGCACCCCUUCUCGUCCACCUCGCUUCAUCAGUGCGUCUUCUGCGGUCAUGGACCGCUGCAGCACCACUCCUAUUUCAACCGCUACAUUCUCAAUCCGAUCAACCGCUAUGGCUACAUCGGAGACGGGCGACGCGGUAUGAUGAUGCUGUCUAACGACGUAUUUUCCCGGGCAAUGCUGCGCCGCACCAAGGUCGAGCGGGCCGCCGACCUGCAGUUGCCGUCGUUGACAAUCGAGGUGCACUGCAUCAAGCUCACGAAGGAGGAGCGUAACUUUUACGAGUCCCUGUACAAGAAGAGCACGGCGGAGUUCGAUACGUUCGUGCACAAGGGCACAGUGCUGCACAACUACGCACACAUUUUCCAGCUGCUUAGUCGUCUGCGCCAGGCCCUCGACAACCCACUGCUUGUGAUGCAGGGCAUGGAUGUUGGCCCUGUGGUGAACGUCAAGGGAGUGUGCGGCAUCUGUGGCGACGGCAUCGAGGGCGAGAGCGCUCUGAAGGUGCACCCGUGCCGGCACCAGUUUCACCGACUUUGUCUCGGCCAAUUCCUGGAGAGCGCACCGGACAAGGAGCUCCACUGCCCCACCUGCUUUGUACGAAUCAACGUGGAUCUGCGGCAGCUGCGACAGGAUGCGGAGGACGACGAUGACGAGGGCGUCUGCGGCUUUGCGGCAGCGUUGCCUCCCGAGCUGGAAGAUGAGGUCAACUCUGAGAUCACUGAGGACGACGAGCAGGCGCAAGCGUUGCAGCAUGUGGAGAGUAAGGUUAAGCGGCGCACAGCGCACGCCAAGCCGACCAAAAAGGAGCAGCGCGGCAUUUUCGCCCGGUUGGACCCGCAGAAGCCGCUGCACGGCACGAAGCUCGAUGCCAUCGCUAACUACAUAGAGAAAGUUCCGAAAGACGAAAAGGUGGUUGUCUUCUCGCAGUUUGGCAGCAUGCUAGACCUGACGCAGUAUUGGCUGCAGCGCCGCUCUAUAAGGGCUGUAAAGCUGUGUGGGUCACUGACGUUGACGCAGCGGCAGUCGGUGUUGCAGGCCUUCCUGCAUGACCAAAACGUGCGCGUCAUCCUCAUCUCCCUGAAGGCAGGCGGAGAGGGUUUGAACCUGCAGGUGGCCAAUCACGUGGUGCUGACCGAUCCGUGGUGGAACCCAGCGGUCGAGAUGCAGGCCGUGCAGCGAGCGCACCGAAUCGGGCAGACCCGCCCGGUUCACGCCGUCCGCUUUGUCACGGAGCACUCAGUGGAGGAGCGCAUGGUCGACCUGCAGGACAAGAAGAUGCUCGUUUUCGAGGGCACCAUUGACGGCAAGUUGCAGUCGCUCAACAAGCUCACCGAGGAGGAUCUGCAGUUCCUCUUUACAAGGUAGCGUAGAGGAAAGCGAGAGCGCGCGCGGCCACCAUGUGCCAGCGGUGUGUGCGUGGAUAUCUGUGUGGGUGUGCAGAACGACCACAUCGCUGGCAAACGUGGUGGCCAACAGCGAGAGUUCGUGUGCGUCGCGAGGAGAGUAAUGACCACCACCCGGGGCGCUCUCUUUUUCCCCUCUUGUCGCACCUGUUUGCUGUGUUCCUUAACACAAGGCGACUCAACAUGACGCGGCUCUUUCUUUCCCUCCUCGUUCACCAUUGCCAAAUACACGCACACACACAAACACAUGCAUACAUAUAGUGCUGUCUUCUUCGUCACUAUCGUCAGCUUUUUUUUAUGUUCUGCUUUUCCUAAACACUGUUGCCCCUCCCCUCUCCUCUCCCCUCCCUGAUGCUCCUGCGAAACGAUUUCACCCCGCCUGCUCUCCCUCACCGCCGUGAACUGACGUUUCCAGGGCGCAUGGCAAACGGCACGCAUGCCAGCCGCCUGGCCCCCCCCCCACCAUCUGCCACUAGUGCUCGUGCUCGUGCUCCUACUCCCAUGACGGACCCUCCCUCUUUUUCCUCUUUUUUUCUUGUCACCGCGUUUCAAGAGCCUCUUCCGUUUUUUCCUCGCUGGUGUCGCUGUUGACUCUCCUGGCGUGCGAUGAGCCUCCAUCCUCCCCUACACUACCUCCUCCCCCUCCAAAGGAAGCAAGACCCUUCACCGCCUAUCCACCUCCCCACCUCCCUCCAGCGCAGCUCAGUCGAAAUCUUUUCCUUUUCUGCUUUUUCAGCCGGUCACUAUCGUAAAGUAACACAUUCCCUGUUAUUUCUCCACCACUUCGCAUCUCUCCCUCUCUCCCCGCGCUGCCGGCACACUCCUGCCUGUGCGAGACUUUUUAUUGCGUGUGCCUGUGCGUGUAUCUGUACGUGUGUGUUUCAGCACGGAGGCCCCCCUUCCUCCUCUCACAGACGCACGCACACACGUGUGUGUGCGAGCAGUCGGAGCCCUCCAUC
rnacentral:misc_RNA from 1 species